UCGGAACGUGCCCUAGAGUGGGGGAUAACGUAGCGAAAGUUACGCUAAUACCGCAUACGAUCUACGGAUGAAAGUGGGGGAUCGCAAGACCUCAUGCUCGUGGAGCGGCCGAUAUCUGAUUAGCUAGUUGGUGAGGUAAAAGCUCACCAAGGCGACGAUCAGUAGCUGGUCUGAGAGGACGACCAGCCACACUGGGACUGAGACACGGCCCAG
rnacentral:rRNA from 1 species